rnacentral:rRNA from 1 species
AUGGCUUCCUCUGUCCUCUUGUUCCGGGUUUUUUUGAGCGGCUGUGGCGUCGCCGGGUGCCGGCCGGGUGCCCGGGCCGCCGCCUGGGGCUUGCCCCUUCCCCUCCCCGGGUGCCCGGCCCCUUUGUGGCAGGGUGCCCGGGCCUUCGCUGGAGCUCUCCUCCUCGGGUGCCUGGUCCGUGUGGCCGGGUGCCCGGCCCUUCGCUGGGCGUCUCCCCAGACUCGUCAGGUAGGGCUAUUGGUGCUCGUCGUGCUAAGAAGAAGAAAGAUGAUGAAAGCACAGGCAAGUUUGUUCCUAUCGCAUGCACUGGGUAGUGUUCCAAGGUUCCCCUGCCCCCCGGGUCAUUCUCGCCACCAGGCUGCUUGCAAUCCCAUCAUUGAGGCAUCUAGCAGUGACAAUGAUGAAGAAGAGCCGUUUAUGGCCAACUUUGCUGAAGCUCAAGAUGAUGAUGGUGAUGCUAAUGAUGAAGAAGAAGACAUUGAUCAGGAUUUUGAUCCCUUAACCAAUGAUGAUCUCAAUAAGCUCUCUAAGGCUGAGUAUCGACAAGUUCGCAAUGAGAAUCCUUAUGUUCAUGGCCAUGAUGAUGGUAUUGAUUGGAAGUUCUGGAACGAGUUUCAAAGUCGCACUUUUGAUGAGAUUCUGAAGAUCAAGAAGUACAAGGUGGCUCCUCAUCGCAUUGUGGAUCUUGAGUAUGUUCGUGCUCGUGGUGAUCUUUUUCCCGGUGUGUUUGAGGCUCUUGAGAAGAUGGGUUUUCUCCCGUUUCUGCGUUUCAACAAGGCAUACAAUGAGGAGCUCAUUAUGCAGUUUUACGCCACUGUCUACUUCACGACUGGCUCAGAUCAUGCAUUUAUAUGGCGAUUCGGCGGCUCUACUCUCCAUGGGUCUAUGGCCGACUUAGCUUCUAUCAUUGGCUAUCCCUUUUUCCCGAUGCCUCAGGAUGAUUUUGUCAAUGUUGUUCAGCAUAGUCGCACCAAGAAGGCCCUUGCUUUUGCAUAUAAGUCGGGUACUCUAGAUUCCAUGGUGGGCACUAUUCAUGGUUUGCUGCCCAAGUAUGCCGCCCUUCACCAGAUCCUCCGUACCUCCUUGGCUCCCAAGACAGGCUCUUCUAAUAUGCUCUGGUGCACUACCAUUGACCUGCUCAUUUAUGCUCAUGAAGGACGGAAAGUGGAUGUUCUCAAUUUCAUGUAUGAGGAGAUGAAGUCGUGUGUGUUUGACAAGAAGUCAUGUGUGUUUCCUCCAUUCAUUCAGGCUCUCAUUGAGAUGAAGCACUGUGAGAAAUAUCGGCUCUUGCACAAGUUUCCUAUCACUUUGUGCAAGAGGCACGUCAACUACAGGCCCCCAGUGCAUGAGGAUCUACUAUCGUUAGUGGGCAAGGAGCCCAGGCCUGCGAAGGUUUCUGCUGCUGCUCGGGCUAUUGAGUUUGGUGGGUCCUCCUCACAAGGUGCUGCUUUAGAUGAUCCCACUGCUCUUGCUCACUCUAUUGCAUCUUCACCUUUGUUUUCCAAGAAGGAGAAGAACAUGUUCUUUUGUGGGUUCAACAAUUUGUUCAAGAUGCGCCAGUCCACCGCAAGGCGUCAAGUGGUAGAGACCAACUUCCGCAAGAGUCAGAUGCAACAGUUGAAGGCUGCCAGAGAGCGUGAGUCUGGGGUGACCGAGUGA